AACGAACGCUGGCGGCAUGCUUAACACAUGCAAGUCGAACGAGAACUUCGGGUCUAGUGGCGCACGGGUGCGUAACGCGUGGGAACCUGCCCUUAGGUUCGGAAUAACUCCCCGAAAGGGGUGCUAAUACCGGAUAAUGUCUUCGGACCAAAGAUUUAUCGCCUUUGGAUGGGCCCGCGUUGGAUUAGCUAGUUGGUAGGGUAAAAGCCUACCAAGGCGACGUUCCAUAGCUGGUCUGAGAGGAGGAUCAGCCAGACUGGGACUGAGACACGGCCCAGACUCCUACGGAAGGCAGCAGUGGGGAAUAUUGGACAAUGAGCGAAAGCCUGAUCCAGCAAUGCCGCGGAAGUGAUGAAGGCCUUAGUGUUGUAAAGCUCUUUUACCCGGGAUGAUAAUGACAGUACCGGGAGAAUAAGCUCCGGCUAACUCCGUG
rnacentral:rRNA from 1 species